rnacentral:rRNA from 1 species
UACGGAGGGUGCAAGCGUUAUCCGGAUUCACUGGGUUUAAAGGGUGUGUAGGCGGAUUCUUAAGUCAGUGGUGAAAUCUCCGGGCUCAACCCGGAAACUGCCAUUGAUACUAUUAGUCUUGAAUUUUGUUGAGGUAGGCGGAAUAUAUCAUGUAGCGGUGAAAUGCUUAGAUAUGAUAUAGAACACCGAUUGCGAAGGCAGCUUACUAAACAAAUAUUGACGCUGAGGCACGAAAGCGUGGGGAUCAAACAGG